UUAUUAUAUUGUUCUGGGAUC
ensembl:piRNA 21ur-5009 ncRNA